rnacentral:rRNA from 1 species
UACAGAGGGUGCAAGCGUUGCUCGGAUUUACUGGGCGUAAGGCGUACGCAGACGGUGAGAAAGGUCGGAUGUGAAAGCCCCGGGCUCAACCCGGGAACUGCAUCCGAAACCAUCUCGCUAGAGUAUGGGAGAGGGAAGCAGAAUUCCUGGUGUAGAGGUGAAAUUCGUAGAUAUCAGGAGGAAUACCUGCGGCGAAGGCGGCUUCCUGGCCCAUUACUGACGUUCAGGUACGAAAGCGUGGGUAGCAAACAGG